rnacentral:rRNA from 1 species
UACAGAGGGUGCGAGCGUUAAUCGGAAUUACUGGGCGUAAAGCGUGCGUAGACGGUUAUUUAAGUCAGAUGUGAAAGCCCCGGGCUUAACCUGGGAAUGGCCAUGGAAACUGGCGAACUGGAGUGUGGCAGAGGGGGGUGGAAUUCCGCGUGUAGCAGUGAAAUGCGUAGAGAUGCGGAGGAACACCGAUGGCGAAGGCAGCCCCCUGGGCUAGCACUGACGCUCAGGCACGAAAGCGUGGGGAGCAAACAGG